AUUGAACGCUUGCGGCAGGCCUAACACCUGCAAUUCGAGCGAGCGGCGGACGGGUGUGUAAUGUAUGUGGACUGCCCGCUAGAGUGGGAUAACUCCUGGAAACGGUAUCUAAUACCGCAUACUAUCGGAUAACCCAUAUGGGAUUAGCUAGUAGGUGAGGUAAUGGCUCACCUAGGCGACGAUCCCUAGCUGGUCUGAGAGGAUGAUCAGCCACACUGGGACUGAGAAACGGCCCAGACUCCUACGGAGGCAGCAGUGGGGAAUAUUGAACAAUGGGCGAAAGACUGAUGCAGCCAGGCCGUGUGCAGGAAGGAGGGAUGAGGGUUGUAAAGAACGUGCAGUCGGAAGGCGUUGCCUGCAGAGGAUGCACCGGCUAACUCCGUGCCAGCAGCCGCGGUAAUUC
rnacentral:rRNA from 1 species